CCCUGAUGUCUAGUUUAUUAACUAAGGUAGAGAAAGGAGCUUGAAGUAGUUCCCUGGGUGGAGAGAAAAUAAAAGCAGAGCUGGGAAAAUCUUUUUCCCCGACAGGAAGAAGGGAGUCUGGGUUUGGGGCAGCCAAAGAGCAUUGGUUCAACUUUUGCUCUUGGAGAGCAGAGGAUACCAAGGCUUGUUGUUGGGACCCCACAUAAACCAGAAGGUUCAGCUCCCAGGCACCAUCCAGGCUGACCCAAGCAACGGGUGGUCACCGCACUCCAAACAACAGCUCCAGUGCACCUGGGGACCAGCUCCAGAAAGCAAGUUAAACAAUGAAAUGGUAAAGUAUCUGAGCAGGUGUGUCCCAGGUGGGAACAGACUUGUAGCCAGGACAAGAGCGCCCCACACACAUGUCUACGUCUGCUUGUGCAAUUGUGCUUUGAAAAUAGAACGUGUCUGAUAUUCAACAUGGAACACCCAGAUGUAAGAUAUAAAAUGCCCGUGCAGGUGCUGCUCACCCGUGCAAUGCUAGCCGCAGCGUGCUGUCAACAGUUCCUUGAUUCCUGAAGCAAACACGUCCCCCAUGUCCCAUACCUUCUAUCGUGGCCAGAGCCCCUGAGAACCUGUAUUCAGGAGCCCUGGACAGGUGUGAGCGCCCUGUGUCUGCGGGCACGUGUGGGGCUGAAAUGUGCUCUACACCUGGGGGGCAUAGGGCUCCCUGUCACAGGGCACAUUGACACCUUGCAUAAUGCAGUGCAGUGUCCCUAGCAGGCUCUCUGCAUGACAGUGCCUGAAGACACGUGUGAGUCACUGCUCCCACGGAAAGGUAGUGUUUUCAGGACACUGACCAAACAGUGAGUCCACGGGAGGCAUUUUCUAGAAGGCAGUGGGGGCGCCCUAACUCGGGGACUUGAGCCUGGCUGCACCCCAAUGCUGGUCUUGGGCAGGUGAUCCAAACACAUCAUGUCCACACUCAGGUUAAUCCCACUCUCUGAAGACCUGCAGGUAAUGAGGUCAUCGCUGGCCUGUCAGCUGUAGUAAGACAAGGCUUCCUCCCUUCCCUGGUUGUGCAUUCUAGGGCAGGUGGGGACGGUGGGUGGUGGGACCCUCGGCAUCUCUGAGCUGCUGCUCCCCCUCAGAACGGCAGGUGGAGCCCACCUGUCAUGGCCUCGUCUGGGUGAUGCCCAGAUGCCCUCCACGGGCCCAGGUCUCUACAGAAACAGAGCCCCUGCCAUUACUGGGCCGCAAACGCUCCCCAUGGAGCAGUGGAGGAAGCUCCGCGGGGUCACUGCACAGACCCGGGAAAACAAGGUGUGUCCAGCACCUCAGUCAACAGAGAACUGUGAGAUUGGGAGAGAAAUCUAAGAGGAGAUGAAGGUGACAGGAAAAUGCUAGAAAGAACCAGGGGAUAAGUAUGUGGGUGACAAGUGGCUGCGGGGUAGGGGGCUGGCGGUGGUCAG
rnacentral:lncRNA from 12 species